rnacentral:lncRNA from 1 species
UAAAAAUGGUUUUGAAUGAAUGAUGAAAUUAAAAGACAACAAAUCUAUGUUAUGAUAAUGAAACUAUGAAAAUAAUAAAGCACAAACAUAACAAAAAAAAAUGUUGAAAGAAAUAAAAUACUAAAAGAAAAUAAAAUGCUAAAAGAAAAUAAAAUGCUAAAAGAAAAAUAAAAUACUAAAAAAAAUGCUACACAUGAGUAUUGAACCCACUCCACUCAAGAUUAUGGAAACCACCUCUCUCCACCAGACCACUCUUGACUAGUUGUUAUUUACAAUGCUAAUUUAAAUAUAUAAACCAAAAUAGAUUAAACAUUAGAAUAAAAACUAAAAUAAAAAAAAAGUCUGUUGGACUACCAGUAGUUAAACCCAGCCGCUUGGCUGUUGGGUUCAAAAGGUUAGGAAUUGGGAACACUAAAUAGAAUUUAACUAAAACUAAUACCAAUAAACUAUAGUUAAUGACCAUUUGAAACUCUAAACGUUCAACCAUUGGGAUUUAAAGGCUCUGCUAAAAAAAGGAAACAAUAAUGAAUAAAUAAUAAAAAAAGAAAAAAAAGAAAAGGUGAGGACACGAAGGAAAGUCCAGAAUCCCAAUCGUCCUCCUCUCUCAAUCUGCUUCACAAAGAAACACUCUCAAUCGCUCUCAAUGAAAACUCCCUCUGCUCUCGCACCCCUAACCUUCACCGUCAACCUUCGCUCAUCCUUCACAAUCUCUCACAACCUCUCAUUCGCUCACCUCUCAACAAUCUCUCUUAAAAUCGCC